UGAGAGCCAAGAGCUCUCUGGCUGCGUUCUCAAUGCCCCUCCCUGGACUGCAAGCCCCAGGAUGCCACUGGAUUCGGCUAAGGCAGUGAAAGUGGAUCAUAGAGCUAACACUAUGGAUUGGGGCGGAAGCGGAAAAGGACGCAAUCCUUGUCAGGGGAAAUGUGGCUAACAUCAGCCUUGAAUGUAGAUGAUAAGAAAGAUUCAAACCUACCUGCAGGAACCCACAGAGCAUGUGCAAAGUCCAGAGGAAACUUGUACUUUUUUCAAAGGCUGACAGAUUUUGGGAUAUCCGCAUAUACAUAAUGGGACACUCUGGAGAUGGGACCCAAGUCUACACACAAAAUUCACUUGUCAUAUACAUCUUAAACCCAUGGACUGAAGAUGUUAUAAAUAAUACUUUAAAAUAAUUUUGUGCAUGAUUAACAAAGUUUGUAUCCACUGAAUCAGCAGAAAGCAAAAAAGAUCACUAUCUCGGGCACCAAUGAGAACAAUUUUGUCGUAUUUCGGAGCCGUACUU